CGGUCAGGAGCAGCAGGAAAUAUCCCUGGAAGGUGUAGGCCUUACUGGAUAAGAGGAUGUCCAUGCCACUGUUCUGUAAAUAGUUUGGGCUGUGCAGAAGGAUGAGGAGAUGCUGGAAUCUGGAAUAGCCAUGGAAGAAGUAACUGGAUAAGAGGAGGCCCAUGCCAUACUGAAAAGAUGCAGACCAACAACAUAUUCUCUUAAGUUUUAAUAAAUAGUUUAAAAAACUUGCA